rnacentral:rRNA from 1 species
UGGGGAAUUUUGGACAAUGGGCGCAAGCCUGACCCAGCCAUGCCGCGUGCAGGAUGAAGGCCUUCGGGUUGUAAACUGCUUUUGUACGGAACGAAAAGGUGCCUUCUAAUAAAGGGCGCUCAUGACGGUACCGUAAGAAUAAGCACCGGCUAACUACGUGCCAGCAGCCGCGGUAAUACGUAGGGUGCGAGCGUUAAUCGGAAUUACUGGGCGUAAAGCGUGCGCAGGCGGUUUUGUAAGACAGAGGUGAAAUCCCCGGGCUCAACCUGGGAACUGCCUUUGUGACUGCAAGGCUGGAGUGCGGCAGAGGGGGAUGGAAUUCCACGUGUAGCAGUGAAAUGCGUAGAGAUGUGGAGGAACACCGAUGGCGAAGGCAGCCCCCUGGGCCUGUACUGACGCUCAUGCACGAAAGCGUGGGGAGCAAACA